rnacentral:rRNA from 1 species
AACGAACGCUGGCGGCAGGCUUAACACAUGCAAGUCGAACGGGAUCUUCGGAUCUAGUGGCAGACGGGUGAGGAACACGUGGGAACAUCCCUUUCAGUUCGGAAUAACGUUGGGAAACUAACGCUAAUACCGGAUACGUCCUUCGGGAGAAAGAUUUAUCGCUGAAAGAUUGGCCCGCGUCUGAUUAGCUAGUUGGUGAGGUAAUGGCUCACCAAGGCUACGAUCAGUAGCUGAUCUGAGAGGAUGAUCAGCCACAUUGGGACUGAGACACGGCCCAAACUCCUACGGGGGGCAGCAGUGGGGAAUAUUGGACAAUGGGCGCAAGCCUGAUCCAGCCAUGCCGCGUGAGUGAUGACGGCCUUCGGGUUGUAAAGCUCUUUUGUCCGGGAAGAUAAUGACUGUACCGGAAGAAUAAGCCCCGGCAAACUUCGUGCCAGCCGCCGCAGUAA